AUCUGGGCGGCGAAAUUCAGAAUGGCUGGCGGGCUUCGCGCACGUUCGGCCGUUUGAUAUUUUCGUCGCCGUGUCAGACGUCGCGACCUGUUUGUCGUCGGUCCCUGCUCGGAGGAAUCGCGAUCGAGUUCGUUGUGGGUGCGUUUCGGCGUGUCUCACGGUGAAGACGCGGGUCUCUGGCUGACGACGGACAGUAAGGAAUGGUGGUCGGUGUCGUGUCUCGCACGCGGCAUCGGCGCCGGUCAGCGACGAUUUCUUCGGGCCUCUUUCCGACCCGUCUUGAAACACGGACCAAGGAGUCUAACAUGCGCGCGAGUCGCGGGGUAUCGAGCGUACUACGGUGCGCUCGUUACAUUACGAAACCCGUACAUUGAAGGCGUAAUGAAAGUGAACAGGGAAGAUGGUGUUCCGAGUAUACGUACCGUGAUCUAGUAUCGCGGCCGGACGCCCGCAUUCCCGGGGCGUCUCAAUGGCUCGUCGCGGAUGCGGACGGUCGUCUUUCGGGGCGAUCGUCGGUCUGCGUCGGUCCGA
rnacentral:rRNA from 1 species